GUGACGAUGAUGAGGAAGAUGAUGCUGCCGAUGAUUCAAGAUCUUGAUCCAUAGUGUUGGACAUUAAAGCUCCAAUAAACUUUGAUCUAUUCUGACCUGAGAUCAGACUACCACGGAAAGAUUACCAUCACAACUCCCACCACAUCAUUGAUAAACUUGAAGUAAUUCUGGUGAUGAGGUGUGUCAAUAGACUAUUGUUAUUAUUAUCCAAAUGAAAACAAUAACAACCUUUCACUUGAUUGUUUAAUAUUCAAAUAGUUAAUUGUUACCAAUGGUAAAUGAACAAACGAAACAAAAAAUUUGAUAAAAAACAAUCAUCACUUUGGGUUAACUUUUAAUGUCAAAAGAUGAUGAUGUUUGAUUGUUUUCAUUGUUUCCCCACCAAACCAAUGGAUACACAAUCAACUUAAUCAUGUGUAAUUAAUUAUCAUUCAAAACUUAAUGCAAGUAAAAACAAAAGCAAAUGAUUUAAUCAUAUGGAUUCAUAAAUCAAUUUCCUUUUUCUGAUUGUAUUUGAUUUUGAUUGAAUGAUUGAAACAAGAGAUUAAUGGAUUAAUUUACCUCGAAAUCGUUGUCAUUGAAUCGAUAAUAAUUGGUUCCCUUGAAGAAAUAAGUUAAUCCGUUUUCCCAUUUGAAAGCGGCAUCAAUGUUACUCGGUAAUCCGACCCAGUUUUUAAUCGGCUUUGGAUAACGGCUACUCACUGAUUCAAUUAAGUAUCUCAAUUGACUGAUCUUUCCAAACAAUAUGAUCUGUUGGUUGAUUUACUGGGAAUUGUGAUUGACCUGUCGAAUCUUUUUCUUUGGUAGAAAUAUUUUGAUCACCGAUUGAUCGAUUUGCAGAUUGUUCAGUAACUUUACCUUGAA